rnacentral:rRNA from 1 species
UACGGAGGUUGCAAACGUUGCUCGGAAUCAUUGGGCGUAAAGCGCACGUAGGCGGUCCGGUAAGUCGGAUGUGAAAGCCCUCGGCUCAACCGAGGAAGUGCAUUCGAAACUGUCGGACUUGAGUACGGGAGAGGGAUGCGGAAUUCCCGGUGUAGAAGUGAAAUUCGUAGAUAUCGGGAGGAACACCAGUGGCGAAGGCGGCAUCCUGGACCGAUACUGACGCUGAGGUGCGAAAGCGUGGGGAGCAAACAGG